rnacentral:rRNA from 1 species
UACAGAGGGCGCGAGCGUUAUUCGGAAUUACUGGGCGUAAAGCGCACGUAGGUGGCGACGUAAGUCGGGUGUGAAAGCCCCGGGCUCAACCUGGGAAUUGCAUUCGAGACUGCAUUGCUGGAGUACGGAAGAGGAAGGCGGAAUUCCCGGUGUAGCGGUGAAAUUCGUAGAUAUGGGGAGGAACACCGGUGGCGAAGGCGGCCACCUGGACGGUCACUGACGCUGAGACGCGAAAGCGUGGGUAGCAAACAGG